AGUGACCGGCCGCCGCUUCGUCCGCCCAGGCGUCGGCCGCGUCGCUGCGCCUCUCUCCUCACGCGCGCAGACAUCGACGCCACCACCCCGCCACCGCGCACGGCGGGCGGGGACCGGAACAGCAGCCAUAAGAGGCAGGUCGCGACAACCCCCAAGCGCCGUCGCCGUCGAGGGCGGCCGACGGCUCCCCUGUUCCUUUCUGCUCCGUUCCAAAGUGGCGAAACUAAUAAAACGAAAAAGGUGAGUCGGUGUCAAUCCACCUCCGACACCACGCCACCGCCCGUCCGUCUUUCUUUCUCCUGUUCCUUGUCCGGGGUGGCGCAAUGAUUCGCCCGGACACGCCCCGCCCUCGGCGUCCGUUCCCUUACCGCGCAAUGUAGAAACCGUGCAGGAAUCAGGUGCCCCUUCCGGUUUGGAGAUGGUGAAAACCGACGAGAACCGGGCUGCUUUCUCGGUGUCGUAUGGUGGCCGUUUGUUGCCUUGCUGCCGGUGGGGCGUGAGGUGAGAGUCUUCCAUAAAAGGCACUACCAAUGCUUGGGAGGGAUGUAUUUUACUAGAUCACGAGACGUAAUUACAGUCACAAGAUAUAUUUACUACUUCAAGUGAAUGUGUCUACAGUGGCAGUGGCAAAGUACUAUAACUCUUUCAUUACAAAAUGAGGAGAGGUGUCUUGGAUUCAGGAAAUGUACUUUAUGUUUAUAUGAUGGCAAGUUUGGCAACCAUUUCUUAUGGCUUCAAUUUUCAACAUGGAAGGAUCAUGUUGGCAAUAAUCUCCUGGUCUCCUAACGACGCAUCAAUUGAAAUUAUUAAUUUGAAUGGACUAUUUCCAUCAAGAGAGGAUGAAGCUAUGCCAUAUAAUUGAUACCACUAUUUGGUUACUAAGGCAGGAAACCUUCAUCAAGCCCUAUAUUAUACUUCCCUUUAUCCAAGUUAAAGGUUGUGUUCCUACUUCCUGGUUCUACUGAACUUCACUGGAGCCUGAAAUCAUGGCAUACUUAUUUCUGUAUCUCAAAGCAAAUGUUGCACAUGAAAUUUUGAAGUUGACAUCACUAAAAUGCUCAAACUGGGUUCCUUCUUUCGUUUUUACCAUCAGAUGACCAGCGUAACUUACAACAGAGACUUUCUGUCACUGUGUAUAAGAUAUUUAGAUUUCUGGCUUUUCUAUUAGCAUGGGCAAAACAAUAUCCUACAUGAUUUACAUGCCUGAUCUUCCUUUUUCCCCUUUAUAUUAGCUUGUUUUUUCUUUCUUUCU